UUCCACGUAAGGCAACAUUGCCAAAAUAAAUGUUGCCAGAAUAUAUGUGUAAUAACCGACGUUAAACCAUUCUCUUUUUAGCUUAUCAUUUUGUUUAUUGAGAGUCAUGGCCAUGGCUGCCAAAGCUCACGGACGAGCUCAAGUUUGGAAGAAGAGAAAUUAAAUUCCAAAGGUGAUUUACAAGUUCAAGGAGAUAAUAGCAACAUUGGAUAUUGAAUCGGGGAAGAGGAAAUUGUAAAAUUGGAGCAAUUAAGAGUAGAAAUUUCUCCGAGAAAAUUAAGGUUUAUCAUAUUAAUUGUGGAAGUUCUUGGCUGGACUGAGCUCUUGAACGACGUAAGGUAUAGAUGCUCACGUUGGUAACCCGCCAGCUUAGGAGUCCUAUUCAGCUAUCUUGGAGAGCUCCCUUGUUCCGGAGCCUAGAUUUUGGUACAGAAUCUCUUGUGGUGUAUAUGUAUUUUAUCCAGGGGUACGGCGGGGCCCUGUCCCGUCAUAUGAUAUUGUUGUUACUCUUAGAGGUCUGUAGACAUAUGUGUGGGUUGUGUAUCGAUGUUGUUCAGUUGUGUCUAUAUGGCUUAUGUUUUGGGACGUUCCCAUUCGUAGUGGCAGCCUUGUCGGCUUGCGUAGAUAUAUAUAUAUAUAUAUAUAUAUAUAUAUGUGUGUGUGUGUGUGUGUGUGUGUGUGUGUGUGUGUGUGUGUGUGUGUGUAUUUUGAGAUGUAAUGUGUUACGAUAGCCUUGUCGGCUCGUUUAUGGCGGGGAUGUUCCCUUAUAUAUUAUGAAAGCCUUGUCGGCUUAUGUACUAUAAUGUCUGUUGAAAGUUGUACCUCCCCAGGAGACAGGUUGUUGUGAUACGUCUAAACAAUGCGACAGUUUUGAGACGAAGUCUUGCCUUGGUAUUAAUAAGUCUGUAUUAUGCUAGUUAUGGACGAUUAUAGUUAACAGGUGCAUACGAGUGUCCAGCUCGGGCACUAGUCACGGCCUACGGGGUUGGGUCGUGACAAAAAAGAACAUAAAAGUUCGUCUCACCAUAUAUUAUAAAAUUUCGGCUCUGAUACAAUAGUUAUUACAACCUAAAUGCAUGACACAUAUUUUCGCUUUUGAAAAUGUUCAAUUAAACAAAUAUCUUUCUUAUAAAAUAAAAAUUUCUAAGAAAAAACAAUACAAAUAUAUAAAAAAAAAUUGAGAUAGCUUUGCCGAAAAAUUAACCAAAAUCCUUUCUCUGUUUGGUAUUGUCAAUAUGUACAACUCGAGAAGGAACGAAGGAACCUGAAUAGAACUCUUGGGGAAGUGUGGUGAUAGGGCCCCGAGCAAGUUUUUUUUAGGAAUCUGGACCCCAAGUUUUAAUUAUUAUGUGAUAGGACCUCAUUGAGGAUCAAGGAUAAUUAAGUGGAGACAAGUUAUUGGGGAGUCAAAAUAAGGCCCCAAGUUUAAAAAAAUACAUUUUCGUCCAAGGAUUUAAAAAAAAAAAAAAAUAAAAUAAUAAAAUAAAAACUAUUCCAAACUUUCAAACCAGCCCCUAAGUUUUAAAAAUACCCUUUUGAUCCAAAGUAAGAAAUGAUAAAAUAAACCAAAAUAAAAAUCUAAAAAUAUAUAUUUUACCUUAUAAAAAAAAAGAAAUAUAAAAUUAUAUUCCCAUCCAUUCAUUCCCACAUUUUUUU